rnacentral:lncRNA from 1 species
UUCUCCGCACCGGGAUCCCCAGUCCCUCAGGUUCCGACAGACCCUCCUGUCAGGCCCAUUCUCCGGGCCCCCUCAGUUGCAGUGUUAAGAUCAACAGUGUUAAGAUUAAAGCCUUGUGAUGUGCUAGCCACUACGCUGAGGAUAUGCCGUGUACUAAAAUUCCUCAGGACUCCUCACAGCUGCCCUGUAAGGAAGCGGCCAUGGCCGGGUUCUAGCGAUGCGAGGCCGAGGCUCGGGGCGCUGAGUAGCCUAGCGCGUCGCCGAGGAGAGCUGGCACGUGAACCCCUUGUCGUUUGCCGUCAGAGGUGUUAUGUGGUGGCCCUCAUUCUCCAUGCAUGGAGCAGACUCUAGGAUCUGCAGUUACUGUAUGAUGAGCCCUUCUGAGUAUUUUGCUUGAGUCUCGCUGUGUCACCCAGGCUGGAGUGCAGUGGUAUGAUCUCAGCUCACUGCAACCUCCACCUACCAG